UCCCUGGUGGUCUGAUGGCUAAGACUCCAGGUUCCCAAUGCAGGAGGCCUGGGUUCAAUUCCUAGCCAGGGAA
rnacentral:tRNA from 1 species